UAGGGAAUCUUCCGCAAUGGACGCAAGUCUGACGGAGCAACGCCGCGUGAGUGAAGAAGGAUUUCGGUUCGUAAAACUCUGUUGUUAGAGAAGAACAGCGCAUAGAGUAACUGUUAUGCGUGUGACGGUAUCUAACCAGAAAGCCACGACUAACUACGUGCCAGCAGCCGCGGUAAUACGUAGGUGGCAAGCGUUGUCCGGAUUUAUUGGGCGUAAAGCGAGCGCAGGCGGUCAAUUAAGUCUGAUGUGAAAGCCCCCGGCUCAACCGGGGAGGGUCAUUGGAAACUGGUUGACUUGAGUGCAGAAGAGGAGAGUGGAAUUCGAUGUGUAGCGGUGAAAUGCGUAGAUAUAUGGAGGAACACCAGUGGCGAAGGCGACUCUCUGGUCUGUAACUGACGCUGAGGCUCGAAAGCGUGGGUAGCAAACAGG
rnacentral:rRNA from 1 species